AUGGAUGAACCCGAUCUGGAGGAAGGAAGCGAGGAGGACUGGGAUCGCCAUGGCCCAGACCCAACCCUAGAAGAUGCGUUCGAGGGCAUGAAUUUACAUUGGGAGGAGGAAGAAGAUUUGGAUUUAUCAGGGGAGGUGGAUGAUCUGAUUAGGGAGGUGCGUUGGUUGGCGCUGUUUAGGGUUCAUACUCUCAGGCCUUUUAGCCAUGCCGCUCUACUGAACUCCAUGAGGAACGCAUGGGCUUGUGCGCAAGGGGUGACCUUCAACAUCAAGGGGCCGAAUCUAUUCCUAGCACAAUUCCACUGUCUUGGCGACUGGAAGCGGGUGAUGAAAGGAGGCCCCUGGCAGUUUCGAAGAGAUCCGGUGGUUAUGGUGGAGUAUGAUGGAUUUACAAAUGUAGUUGAAUAUGCUCUUGAGAUGUAUCCUUUGUGGGCAAGAAUUAAGGGGUUGCCGGAUGGUUUAACAAGGAAGAAAGAGCUCGCUGAGAAAGUGGCUAAGAAAGUUGGAAGUCCACUGUUUACUGUAAUUGUGAAUGAGGGAAGAAUUAAUCCCUCAAGUCAUCUCCGGGUGCGUGUUUUUGUCAAUGUUAAUAUGCCGCUGGUGAGAUUUGUGCCCAUCACGCUCAAGGAGAGGAAGAAAUACCCGGUUAGCUACGAGAAGUUGCCGGACUUCUGUUUUUAUUGUGGUUGCAUGGGCCAUGUGGUGGAGGAGUGUGGUGACGGUAUUCAUGCUCCGACUAAUUGUGAAUGGGGUGAUUAG
rnacentral:rRNA from 1 species